GCAGCCCGCCGGCCGGAGGCUGUUUGACUUCAUGCUCCUCCGGGGGCGGGGGGAGUGUACUGGCCGCCUCAAUGGGGCAACGGCUUCCCUUCCAGGGGCUCUUUGACUUCAUGUGCCUCCGGCGGGGGGGAUGUACUGGCCGCCUCAAUGGGGCAACGGCUUCCCUUCCAGGGGCUCUUUGACUUCAUGUGCCUCCGGCGGGGGGAUGUACUGGCCGCCUCAAUGGGGCAACGGCUUCCCUUCCAGGGGCUCUUUGACUUCAUGUGCCUCCGGCGGGGGGAUGUACUGGCCGCCUCAAUGGGGCAACGGCUUCCCUUCCAGGGGCUCUUUGACUUCAUGUGCCUCCGGCGGGGGGAUGUACUGGCCGCCUCAAUGGGGCAACGGCUUCCCUUCCUCCUCCCCUCUUUUUUCCGAAAGCCGAGGCUCUGUCCCCAAGCCGGCCGCAACCCUGGCGUCCCUAGGCUACAACCUCCAGCUGCUUUUCCUCCCUAAAAUGCCAAUUAAGACCGUGAGCCCCACGGUCUGCCCCAGCGCUUAGCACACAGUAAGCGCUUAACAAACACCCAUAAUAAUAAUUAUUAUUAUUAUUUUCAGACGCCGACCCGGGUUGAAGGUGUGCGGUUACUACCGGCAGGGCUUCGGGACCAGCUAUGGCUGUCUCUGUAGAUUAGCCCCUCAAUUGUAUUAUAUCUGCUUGCCUUCUGCCUGGACCACUUCAUAAAAUGUGCUUGAUCUCCAGAUUUUCUCCCUAUAUUGUGUAGCUAGCUGUGUGCCUCCUCCUAAACCCUAGAGAGCAAUAGAAAGCCCUUUUCUUAUAUCUCAGACUUACUGAAAAAUCAGAGGAAGCUCUUUGGAAACAACAACAGCAACAACAAUAGGAAUAAAAGCUAAAAAUGAAAACUCCAAAAAUGACUUAAAUAAAAAUGUGAAAGAACACAA